rnacentral:rRNA from 1 species
GAUGAACGCUGGCGGCGUGCCUAAUACAUGCAAGUCGAGCGAACAGACGAGGAGCUUGCUCCUCUGACGUUAGCGGCGGACGGGUGAGUAACACGUGGAUAACCUACCUAUAAGACUGGGAUAACUUCGGGAAACCGGAGCUAAUACCGGAUAAUAUAUUGAACCGCAUGGUUCAAUAGUGAAAGACGGUUUUGCUGUCACUUAUAGAUGGAUCCGCGCCGCAUUAGCUAGUUGGUAAGGUAACGGCUUACCAAGGCAACGAUGCGUAGCCGACCUGAGAGGGUGAUCGGCCACACUGGAACUGAGACACGGUCCAGACUCCUACGGGAGGCAGCAGUAGGGAAUCUUCCGCAAUGGGCGAAAGCCUGACGGAGCAACGCCGCGUGAGUGAUGAAGGCCUUCGGAUCGUAAAACUCUGUUAUUAGGGAAGAACAAAUGUGCAAGUAACUAUGCACGUCUUGACGGUACCUAAUCAGAAAGCCACGGCUAACUACGUG